rnacentral:rRNA from 1 species
AACGAACGCUGGCGGCAGGCCUAACACAUGCAAGUCGAGCGCGCCCUUCGGGGUGAGCGGCGGACGGGUGAGUAACGCGUGGGAACGUGCCCUUUUCUACGGAAUAGCCUCGGGAAACUGAGAGUAAUACCGUAUACGCCCUUUGGGGGAAAGAUUUAUCGGAAAAGGAUCGGCCCGCGUUGGAUUAGGUAGUUGGUGGGGUAAUGGCCUACCAAGCGGACGAUCCAUAGCUGGUUUGAGAGGAUGAUCAGCCACACUGGGACUGAGACACGGCCCAGACUCCUACGGGAGGCAGCAGUGGGGAAUCUUAGACAAUGGGGGCAACCCUGAUCUAGCCAUGCCGCGUGAGUGAUGAAGGCCUUAGGGUUGUAAAGCUCUUUCAGCUGGGAAGAUAAUGACGGUACCAGCAGAAGAAGCCCCGGCUAACUCCGUG